rnacentral:rRNA from 1 species
ACGCUCGACACCUACUGGAGGCAGCAGUAGGGAAUCUUCCACAAUGGACGCAAGUCUGAUGGAGCAACGCCGCGUGAGUGAAGAAGGUUUUCGGAUCGUAAAGCUCUGUUGUUGGUGAAGAAGGAUAGAGGUAGUAACUGGCCUUUAUUUGACGGUAAUCAACCAGAAAGUCACGGCUAACUACGCGCCAGUAGCCGCGGUAAUCUGAGCGGGCUGGCAAGGC